UACGAAGGGGGCUAGCGUUGCUCGGAAUCACUGGGCGUAAAGGGUGCGUAGGCGGGUCUUUAAGUCAGGGGUGAAAUCCUGGAGCUCAACUCCAGAACUGCCUUUGAUACUGAGGAUCUUGAGUUCGGGAGAGGUGAGUGGAACUGCGAGUGUAGAGGUGAAAUUCGUAGAUAUUCGCAAGAACACCAGUGGCGAAGGCGGCUCACUGGCCCGAUACCUGACGCUGAGGCACGAAAGCGUGGGGAGCAACAGGG
rnacentral:rRNA from 1 species